CGCUUCCCGGCAGCACGGAUGACCUGCUCAAGUCCAGCCUGGAUUGAGGCUGAGCGGAGUUGUAGUGAUGGCCAAGCCCCGGGUGGCGCUGGAUCCGGAGAGCACAGCUGCCGCCACUGUGCUGAAACGGGCGGUGGAGCUAGAUUCGGAGUCCCGGUACCCGCAGGCUCUGGUGUGCUACCAAGAGGGGAUUGACCUGCUCCUGCAGGUUCUGAAAGGUACCAAAGAUGAUGCUAAGAAACGUAAUCUCAGAGAAAAAAUUUCUGGCUACAUGGAUAGAGCAGAAAACAUAAAGAAAUAUGUGGAUCAAGAAAAAGAAGAUGGAAAAUAUCACAAGCAGAUUAAAAUAGAAGAGAAUGCAACAGGAUUCAGUUAUGAGUCACUUUUUAAAGAAUACCUUAAUGAGACAGUUACAGAAGUUUGGAUAGAAGAUCCUUAUAUUAGGCAGACUCAUCAGCUAUAUAACUUCCUUCGAUUUUGUGAGAUGCUUAUUAAGAAACCUUGUAAUGUAAAAACUAUUCACCUUCUCACCUCUCUAGAUAAGGGAUGUGCAAGAGAGCCACAAAGAAUUGGCCUGGAAGAAAUAAAAAUGUCACUCAGUAGACAUGGAGUGCUGUUGGAAAUAGAAUACUCUUCUUCAAUACAUGACCGAGAAAUUAGGUUCAACAAUGGAUGGAUGAUUAAGAUCGGAAGAGGACUUGAUUAUUUUAAGAAACUGCAGGGUCGUUUUCCCCUUGGAUACCAUGAUUUUGACCUAAGACCAUGUCAUGAAACAACAGUGGACAUUUUUCAUAACAAGCAUACAAAAAAAAUAUGAAGGAUAGUGGCCCAAUGUAUAUAUUUUUACUUUAAGUGAUAUCCUAGUCCACUUCCUAUUGGUCUAUCUGAAUACCACAGGCUGGAUAAUUUAUAAAGAAGAGAGGUUUGUUUAGCUCUUGGUGUGGAGGCUGAGAAGUCUUAAGAGCAUGGUGCUGGCACCUGGCAAGGACCUUUCUGCUCGUGGAGGACGGCAUCACACGGCAAGACCAAGCAAGCACUCUGGAGCGAGCUCGCCUUUAUAAGAGAGCCACUCCUGAGGCUCCGCCCUCGUGACCCUGUCAGCCCAAGAUCCCACCCCAACACUGCGGCACUGGGGACCAUGGCUCCAACACAUGAGCUUCUGGGGAACACAUUUAAACCACAGCAAAGGCAUGAAAAGCAAGCAGUUGUGAAGUUGGAUUGUCUACUACUUCCAAGGCAGUAAGAAGUGAAGUAGCUGAAAUAUUCAUGUGUGCCAGGAACUAAAAUCAAUGAAGAAAGAACCAGUAAUCUAGACAUCAAAAGAGAAAAUGGACAAGGACAGAUUCAGGUUACAUUCUUGCCAAGGAUUCUGAUGCCUACCAAUUACAACACAGGGAGAAUUUUUCCAAAAGAAAAGAAUUGGCUUGCCUUCUAGAUUUACAUGGUCAUGGAUCCAGUCUUCUACAGCCAGAUUUUGAUACACAUCAUUGGAAAUAGACUGUAACAUGAGUCCACCUUUUGUAGUGUUUUUAAAGCCUGCUGCUGGAACCUUGUGGUUGCAAAGUAACUGGAAGCAAUUCUUCACUGAAAAUGGGAUCAGCAUGCUUCUAAAAAUGGAAGACAAAUUAAUUCAAUAAAAAAAGGAGAAUUAAAUUCUACUUUCUAGUUAUCAAUGAUUGGUUAUUUGA